rnacentral:rRNA from 1 species
AAUACUACUGACUGACCGAUAGUGAACCAGUACCGUGAGGGAAAGGCGAAAAGAACCCCGGAGAGGGGAGUGAAAUAGAACCUGAAACCGUAUGCGUACAAGCAGUGGGAGCCUACUUGUUAGGUGACUGCGUACCUUUUGUAUAAUGGGUCAGCGACUUAUAUUCAGUGGCAAGCUUAACCGUAUAGGGUAGGCGUAGCGAAAGCGAGUCUUAAUAGGGCGUUUAGUCGCUGGGUAUAGACCCGAAACCGGGCGAUCUAUCCAUGAGCAGGUUGAAGGUUAGGUAACACUGACUGGAGGACCGAACCCACUCCCGUUGAAAAGGUAGGGGAUGACUUGUGGAUCGGAGUGAAAGGCUAAUCAAGCUCGGAGAUAGCUGGUUCUCCUCGAAAGCUAUUUAGGUAGCGCCUCAUGUAUCACUCUGGGGGGUAGAGCACUGUUUCGGCUAGGGGGUCAUCCCGACUUACCAAACCGAUGCAAACUCCGAAUACCCAGAAGUGCCGAGCAUGGGAGACACACGGCGGGUGCUAACGUCCGUCGUGAAAAGGGAAACAACCCAGACCGCCAGCUAAGGUCCCAAAGUUGUGGUUAAGUGGUAAACGAUGUGGGAAGGCUUAGACAGCUAGGAGGUUGGCUUAGAAGCAGCCAUCCUUUAAAGAAAGCGUAAUAGCUCACUAGUCGAGUCGGCCUGCGCGGAAGAUGUAACGGGGCUCAAACCACACACCGAAGCUGCGGGUGUCACGCAAGUGACGCGGUAGAGGAGCGUUCUGUAAGCCUGUGAAGGUGAGUUGAGAAGCUUGCUGGAGGUAUCAGAAGUGCGAAUGCUGACAUGAGUAACGACAAUGGGUGUGAAAAACACCCACGCCGAAAGACCAAGGGUUCCUGCGCAACGUUAAUCGACGCAGGGUUAGUCGGUUCCUAAGGCGAGGCUGAAAAGCGUAGUCGAUGGGAAACAGGUUAAUAUUCCUGUACUUCUGGUUACUGCGAUGGAGGGACGGAGAAGGCUAGGCCAGCUUGGCGUUGGUUGUCCAAGUUUAAGGUGGUAGGCUGAAAUCUUAGGUAAAUCCGGGGUUUCAAGGCCGAGAGCUGAUGACGAGUCGUCUUUUAGAUGACGAAGUGGUUGAUGCCAUGCUUCCAAGAAAAGCUUCUAAGCUUCAGGUAACCAGGAACCGUACCCCAAACCGACACAGGUGGUCGGGUAGAGAAUACCAAGGCGCUUGAGAGAACUCGGGUGAAGGAACUAGGCAAAAUGGCACCGUAACUUCGGGAGAAGGUGCGCCGGCUAGGGUGAAGGAUUUACUCCGUAAGCUCUGGCUGGUCGAAGAUACCAGGCCGCUGCGACUGUUUAUUAAAAACACAGCACUCUGCAAACACGAAAGUGGACGUAUAGGGUGUGACGCCUGCCCGGUGCCGGAAGGUUAAUUGAUGGGGUUAGCGCAAGCGAAGCUCUUGAUCGAAGCCCCGGUAAACGGCGGCCGUAACUAUAACGGUCCUAAGGUAGCGAAAUUCCUUGUCGGGUAAGUUCCGACCUGCACGAAUGGCGUAACGAUGGCGGCGCUGUCUCCACCCGAGACUCAGUGAAAUUGAAAUCGCUGUGAAGAUGCAGUGUAUCCGCGGCUAGACGGAAAGACCCCGUGAACCUUUACUGUAGCUUUGCACUGGACUUUGAGCCUGCUUGUGUAGGAUAGGUGGGAGGCUUUGAAGCGUGGACGCCAGUUCGCGUGGAGCCAUCCUUGAAAUACCACCCUGGCAUGCUUGAGGUUCUAACUCUGGUCCGUGAUCCGGAUCGAGGACAGUGUAUGGUGGGCAGUUUGACUGGGGCGGUCUCCUCCUAAAGAGUAACGGAGGAGUACGAAGGUGCGCUCAGACCGGUCGGAAAUCGGUCGUAGAGUAUAAAGGCAAAAGCGCGCUUGACUGCGAGACAGACACGUCGAGCAGGUACGAAAGUAGGUCUUAGUGAUCCGGUGGUUCUGUAUGGAAGGGCCAUCGCUCAACGGAUAAAAGGUACUCCGGGGAUAACAGGCUGAUACCGCCCAAGAGUUCAUAUCGACGGCGGUGUUUGGCACCUCGAUGUCGGCUCAUCACAUCCUGGGGCUGAAGCCGGUCCCAAGGGUAUGGCUGUUCGCCAUUUAAAGUGGUACGCGAGCUGGGUUUAGAACGUCGUGAGACAGUUCGGUCCCUAUCU